rnacentral:rRNA from 1 species
UACGUAGGAGGCAAGCGUUGUCCGGAAUUACUGGGUGUAAAGCGCGCGUAGGUGGGAGGCCAAGUCUGUGGUGAAAUCGCCCGGCUCAACUGGGCGGGGUCCAUGGAAACUGGUCACCUGGAGGACGGUAGAGGCGAGUGGAAUUCCCGGUGUAGUGGUGAAAUGCGUAGAUAUCGAGAGGAACACCUGCGGCGAAGGCGGGUUGCUGGGCUGACACUGACGCUGAGGCGCGAAAGCCAGGGGAGCGAACGGG